rnacentral:lncRNA from 1 species
UCACUGCUUCAGCCGUGUGGCCGGUGGCGGACUGGCAGAGAACUGGGUGAGGACUGUGGUAAGGGCUUGACUGACUGACUGAGCCUCAAUGUUUUGUUACUGAAGGACUUUUCCGCCUUAGAAAUGAAGGACUCUAUACUUCAUGCCUGAUGCCACUGAGGGCUUGAGCACUGAGGGCUUGAGCUUAACUUGUCACUGAGGGCUUGAGCUUAACUGAGGAGUGAGGAGUCCUGCAGGUAUACUAGUAAAGGAAAGGAAAGGAAAGGAGUUAGUGAGGCUGUGAGGAGGCGGACAGACUAAUGAAAAUGAAACCCUAGUAUUACUAGACUAAAGGGUAUACUAGUAAAUUAGUAAACCCUUAUUGGGUUAUCGGUUUACCCAAUAACAGAUUUGAUAAACCGAGCCCGAACCGAUAACCCAAUAAGAAAUUUUUUUUAACCCGUUACCGAACCAUUAGCCCAAUAACCCAAUACCGAUAACCCAAUAAGUAAUUAACGGUUCGGGUUAUCGGUUUUACCCGAUAUAUGCCCACCCCUAAGUAAUAUUGUUGACUGCAUUAACUCCAUACAUAUAGUUAAAGGAGCUUGUAAUCAAAGUUACUUCUAAUCCAACACUUAUGUGUUGUUGUAAUGAAAUAUCUUGACGAAAAAAAAGGUUGUUGUACCUUUUACAUUAUAGUUUAUGUCAGAUUUUUGUUAGUUUUUAGUAAGACAAAUGUUGCUUUAACCCGCUCAUAUUAUAUAUGUAUUUCUUUGUAAUUUCUAAUUUCAUCUUAAAUGUGUAGAAAAAUGCAGGUGAUCCAAUUGGAAAUGUUGGCCACAAGUCCAAUUUAAUCUAUUGAAGUGAAUGAUGAAGACUUUUUCAAUAAUUGUGAUAUUUAUUUUCAUCUAUGUGAAUACAUUCGGUUUUUUAUAGUUUGUUGCUAGUUCACAUCUUGAAACAAAGCUUUAUUAAUGUGUAGUACAUGAAAUAUAUUUCUGCUUUGAAGUUCAGUGGAAUUGUUGUUUUUUUCUUUUGGUUAUUUGUUGUGUAAUUUAAUGCUUGAGAUCC